rnacentral:rRNA from 1 species
AUCCGGGUUGCGGACAGUGUCUGGUGGGUAGUUUGACUGGGGCGGUCUCCUCCUAAAGAGUAACGGAGGAGCACGAAGGUUGGCUAAUCCUGGUCGGACAUCAGGAGGUUAGUGCAAUGGCAUAAGCCAGCUUGACUGCGAGCGUGACGGCGCGAGCAGGUGCGAAAGCAGGUCAUAGUGAUCCGGUGGUUCUGAAUGGAAGGGCCAUCGCUCAACGGAUAAAAGGUACUCCGGGGAUAACAGGCUGAUACCGCCCAAGAGUUCAUAUCGACGGCGGUGUUUGGCACCUCGAUGUCGGCUCAUCACAUCCUGGGGCUGAAGUAGGUCCCAAGGGUAUGGCUGUUCGCCAUUUAAAGUGGUACGCGAGCUGGGUUUAGAACGUCGUGAGACAGUUCGGUCCCUAUCUGCCGU